GGAGGAGAACUUGUCUGUUCUACAACCUGACCUAGGAGUCUCUCAUGCAGCGUGCUCAACAAAGCCAUCUUCACCAUGCUUGAAGAACGUGAGCUCUCCCUGAGGCCAACCAUCUGCUGCUUGGGGCAGUAAUAAUCAGAAACCCUCUACCUGCUAAGCUGACAGCUGACUCCCUGCAGACCUCAACAGACCUUCGCUGCUGCUGUCCAUUUAUGCAGAACAAGGGCAUUCUCUCUGUUGCAUGUCAGGCUUCCGCAUGGUUUUUGAGUUAAAAAUGUUUAGGUUUCAGAAUGAAUAACCCAUAACUAACCACAACAAUAUGGGUAAAUCUCGUAAACAUGAUGCUGAGCAAGAGAACCCACAUGUAAGAAAGUGUGUAGGAUAGGAUUUCAUUCAUAUCAGGUACGAACGCAGCCACAGUCACUCUAUGCUAGAGCCCUGGGAGAGUGAGAGACAGGUGCAUGCAAGGGACUUCUGGAGUGCAGCCAGUGUCCUGAUCCCUGACCUGGCUGCUGGCUACAGGGUUGUGCAUUAUCAAGAAACUAAGCAUAUGGUCAAAACAUUCAAGAAACACAGCGGGAAAUUCUAUGACUCACACACACGUGUUAAGAAUGAUGUGAAAUGGAGCACAAGGUUUUCAGUGUUACUUUUCUACCUUAAAAUGGUCCACCAUAUGUGUUACCUUUCUACCUUGACUGUAC
rnacentral:lncRNA from 1 species